rnacentral:rRNA from 1 species
AGUGAACGCUGGCGGUAGGCCUAACACUUGCAAGUCGAACGGCAGCACAGUAAGAGCUUGCUCUUACGGGUGGCGAGUGGCGGACGGGUGAGGAAUACAUCGGAAUCUACUUUUUCGUGGGGGAUAACGUAGGGAAACUUACGCUAAUACCGCAUACUAUCUACGGGUGAAAGCAGGGGAUCUUCGGACCUUGCGCGAUUGAAUUAGCCGAUUUCGGAUUAGCUAGUUGGCGGGGUAAAGGCCCACCAAGGCGACGAUCCGUAGCUGGUCUGAGAGGAUGAUCAGCCACACUGGAACUGAGACACGGUCCAGACUCCUACGGGAGGCAGCAGUGGGGAAUAUUGGACAAUGGGCGCAAGCCUGAUCCAGCCAUACCGCGUGGGUGAAGAAGGCCUUCGGGUUGUAAAGCCCUUUUGUUGGGAAAGAAAAGCAGCAGGUUAAUACCCCGCUGUUCUGACGGUACCCAAAGAAUAAGCACCGGCUAACUUCGUG